GUGCUCAGGAGUGCUCAGGUGUUCCCAGAGGGGUGCUCAGGAGUUCCCAGGGGUGCUCAGGUGUUUCCAGGUGUUCCCAGAGGGGUGCUCAGGUGUUCCCAGGGGUGCUCAGGUAUUCUCAGGAGUUCUCAGGUGAGUUCUCAGGUGUUCCCAGGGGUGCUCAGGUGCCCCCCGCUCCCGCGGCGCGGCUCUGGGACACGCGGGCCCCGCGCUGGGGGUGCCACAGCAGGGUCACCUGCCAGG